rnacentral:lncRNA from 1 species
GUAGAUUGGCUUCGCAUUAAAAGUAAUACAGGAUCCAUUCAAAAUAAGUCCUCUGCCAUAAACAUCCUAUCUAGUCUAGUAAUAAUAAAUCAGCAAACCAGCGCCACAAAAUAAAGUAUUACAAAUCAAACACAGAGUACAACCAUGUCAAAGUAAAAAAGCAGAGUAAGGAGUAACAACCAGGACAUAGAGCACAGAGGCGAUGAUAAUUGUACGGUACCGACCCAAGAAGGAAUCUGCGAUAAACGCACCCAGUAGCGGCAAAAGGAACGCCGUUCCAGACCAGGCGUUCACAUUGGCCGCCGCCGUCGCCGUUGACUGGCCAAUUGGGCCCGUCAAGUAGUUUAUCAAAUUCGAACUUAUCCCGUAAUAUGCAAAUCUCUCCGCCACUUCCACACCUAACAAUAGUUAUUUGUUGUUUUAAAAAUGUUAAAGAAUUAUUUGCUGCUUUAAAAGACAGAGAUGGUUAAGUUGCAGGAAAUUUUGAUAAAGUGAGUUUACCAA